CAGUGCAACAAUUUUAGCAAGAUAGAAGACACCCGAUGAUGGCCGUAUAUAGCUGAACCAUGUAAUGUGGUAGAAUGGUGACUAUAUAAGUUGUCGGAAAUAUAUGUGAAAUAAAUGAUAUAUUAAUGCAACAGGAUGCUUAAAUACAAUAUUAGGAAAAGAGAACAUGGGUGCAUCCAUUCUUCUGUGAUCAUUUAAACUGAGGUGCUUAUAGUGUUUCUAGAAACUUAACCAGGUUCCAGACUCUUUCGUCUCAUAAGAAAUUCUUUCACAAGCCAAAUCUAUUUUGUCCUGCCUAGAAUAACCUGGGUGGCAUUCGUCAUAUAUACCAAGCCGAUGAAUGAUGAAGCAGAAAUAAUUUUGGAGGAAACGGUCGUGGGCUAAGUGAGGUAUUAUCCCGGAAUUCGACUGAAGGGACUGAGGGAAACCACGAAGAGCCCCAGUAAGGGUAACCAGUGUCCCAGUCAAGAUUCGAACCGAGCAGCCCCCCGACACAAAUCUACAGCGCUUCCAGAUAUAUUCACAUAGAUUUACGUACGCAUAAAAUGGAAAAUAUGACCCUGUGUUGAAAUGAACACGAGAAAGAGAAUGGAAAACGUAGGACGGAUAAGUCAACUGAUGACAAUUGGAAUAUACAGUGAUGGAAGAAGAGGGUUUUAAGGAACGGAAACGGAACGAUUCAGAGCUACGGGACAAGAGAACGGGGGCCAUCGAAAAUUGGCGAAACGCAGCAGAAGGUUAGGGCGGUGGCCACCUAUAGGUAGAACUCCAUUGGAAGAAGAUGCCUCAAGUUCUCUGAUACGGUUCUGUA